rnacentral:rRNA from 1 species
CCCUAGUAACUGCGAGUGAAGCGGGAAAAGCUCAAAUUUAAAAUCUGGCGGUCUUUGGCCGUCCGAGUUGUAGUCUGGAGAAGUGCUUUCCGCGCUGGACCGUGUAUAAGUCUCUUGGAACAGAGCGUCAUAGAGGGUGAGAAUCCCGUCUUUGACACGGACUACCAGUGCUUUGUGAUGCGCUCUCAAAGAGUCGAGUUGUUUGGGAAUGCAGCUCAAAAUGGGUGGUGAAUUCCAUCUAAAGCUAAAUAUUGGCGAGAGACCGAUAGCGAACAAGUACCGUGAGGGAAAGAUGAAAAGCACUUUGGAAAGAGAGUUAAACAGUACGUGAAAUUGCUGAAAGGGAAACGCUUGAAGUCAGUCGCGUCGUCCGGAACUCAGCCUUGCUUUUGCUUGGUGCACUUUCCGGUUGACGGGUCAGCAUCGAUUUUGACCGUCGGAAAAGGGCUGGAGUAAUGUGGCACCUCCGGGUGUGUUAUAGACUCUGGUCGCAUACGGCGGUUGGGAUCGAGGAACGCAGCGCGCCGCAAGGCAGGGGUUCGCCCACUUCCGCGCUUAGGAUGCUGGCAUAAUGGCUUUAAACGACCCGUCUUGAAACACGGACCAAGGAGUCUAACAUACCUGCGAGUGUUUGGGUGGAAAACCCGAGCGCGCAAUGAAAGUGAAAGUUGAGACCCCUGUCGUGGGGGGCAUCGACGCCCGGACCUGACGUUCUCUGACGGAUCCGCGGUAGAGCAUGUAUGUUGGGACCCGAAAGAUGGUGAACUAUGCCUGAAUAGGGUGAAGCCAGAGGAAACUCUGGUGGAGGCUCGUAGCGAUUCUGACGUGCAAAUCGAUCGUCAAAUUUGGGUAUAGGGGCGAAAGA